UACGUAGGGUGCGAGCGUUGUCCGGAAUUAUUGGGCGUAAAGCGCUCGUAGGCGGUGUGUCACGUCGAUCGUGAAAACUUACAGCUUAACUGUGAGCGUGCGGUCGAUACGGGCAUCACUGGAGUUCGGCAGGGGAGACUGGAAUUCCUGGUGUAGCGGUGAAAUGCGCAGAUAUCAGGAGGAACACCGGUGGCGAAGGCGGUUCUCUGGGCAUGUCCUGACGCUGAGGAGCGAAAGUGUGGGGAGCGAACAGG
rnacentral:rRNA from 1 species